ensembl:ncRNA lncRNA:CR44754 long non-coding RNA:CR44754
AAAUGCAAAUCGGUGGUUCGACCAGCAAAUUAAUCUAAUCACAUUGAUUUGGCAAUCACCACUGGUUUGGCAAUCGCAUAGUGCCAUAGUCUCGAUGGUGUUUUUGCGAAUCGUGUCGCAUAAUUUGCAGUGAACCGCAAUCGACAUAACUCAUACGCCGCGUGUCCCAAAUGGAGGUUAAGAGCCAGUGCAGUCGGUGCAGUGCCAGUUCGAGUGUCUAUAAAUAAAUCUCUCGAUGCAAUCGCAAACUGGUCUGUCCACUCGGACUCUCGUGCCCAAAAAAAACAAAAAAAAAAAAAAAACUCUCGUACGAAACCAUACGAACCAUUCAGAUGCGAAAACGAAACGAGUCGAAUCGCAGCGAAUCGAAAUGGCCUGCAGUUGCAUGCCGAAGAACGGCCAAAACGCGUCCACAUCAGUAUCAGUAUCAGUAUAUUUCGGCUAAAGUCAUUUCUUGGCUGUUUUUGGCAGCACCGAUGGUCAAGGACGUACAUUAACCAGGGCCCACUGUGCCGCAACGGGCGGGUUGCGGCGUUGCGGUGCGGAGUACAGUGAAGACAAAGGCCAGACAGACAAUUACAUAAAUGGCCGGCACAGGUAGUUUGCUCGCUCAGUGACCAGAGUAAACAAGCAGGUGCGAGGAAAAGCAUAACUAAAUAAAUUAAAAUAAAACAACAGAAGAAGAACAUGGCAAUAAUAUCAGCAACUUGAGUAUAUAGCAUUUAUUUUUACAGCAAAAUUGAACGUAUCAAUAACAUAACUGAAAAUAUUGGUUUAUUACACAUUUUGUCAGAAAAGAACUACACUCAAAUGUAAUAUAUAUCGCAUAUAAACAAACAAUAAGCGGAAGAUCGCACGUUGAAAUUCAUUAAUAAAUCGAAAUCUCGAAUUACUUUAGCGCAAAAGUGAGUAGACUGGAAAAUAAUGAAUUGGCCCGACAGUUUGGUACAACCUUUCUAAACAGUUUCUUGUUUAUUUCUAUUUCUGAGUUUUUUUUUUUUUUUUUUGUUGACAUUGCUCAGUUGGUUGCACGUGGCGUAUGCGCAAUAUUCUGUGGUCGGUGGUCUUUGGUCUGAAAUGUUGAAUUAAGUAGCAGCCACACCCCGAAAACAAGAAUGUCGCUUUUUGCUCGGAUCCAUUUCAAUUGCAAUUUUUAUAACGCUGCCCAGCGUUUUUAUGCCGCAUUUUAUUGCCCAACAAUGGGAACUGAAAUUCGGUUUUUCUCUCUUAUCGCAAGGUCGUUCAUAAAAAACAUAUAUGCAUAUAUGUACUGUUGAUCUCGACUGUCCCAGUUGAUUGCAUUUUAUUGAUUUUAUUAUUUUGCGAAUGCGGCUCAUUAAGUUUACAACAUUUCGGCCAUCUUUUUAUGCAUCGGCUGAAAAAUUCGCCGAUUGAUUUAUCCCAUCCGUGAGGUUGUGUAAAAAUUGCACUUGGAAUUCGAUUUACAACACUUACGAAUAUAUUCAGAAUAAAAAGAAAACCUAAAUGUUAUAAAUAUAAACAUAAUUGGGAAGGACAAAAGAACCGAGGUCGCUGUAAAUAUUCACGUGCGUCAUUAUAUUUGGCCAAUUAUCUCAGGUGUUACGCAAAUUUCCAAUUAAGCGAGCAUUUCGAAGAGAACACUUUUCUCCCACCAUACAUCAAUGGCACCGCCCCCCCAAAAAAACGUUUCACAAUCCCAAGAAUACUGGGGACCUUGACUAUCAAAUGCGAACUAAAUUUCAAUGUCGACCAAUACCGCCCACCAUCCAACAUCCAACACCAUGCCCACCAAAAACACAAUGCUACUUCCAGAUGCUACAGUUGAGGGUACAACUACUCGACUCAUUCGAGUUAUUCUAGAUACGAUCUGAUACGAUCCGAUCGGAUGCAAAGCCGUGCUCGCGACCUUCCCCGUGCCGCCUGCGUUGCCUUUGCCACACGCCACACAAAUUGACGUAGUAAGCUCUUUCCAACUGGCGGUUAAAUACCAUUUAUGUACUUAAUAUUUAUUUAUUUUGUAUUUUUUUCUCCGUUGUUCGAGUCUCUCAGGGUAAGUUUUCCAAACAAUAGCGGGAAAAAAUUAGCACAGCUGCUUCAAAAAAAAAAAAGCAAAAAACCGAAAUGCAAAUAACACACAAAAUUAGAAGAAGAAGAAGAAGGAAAUAUUGAGCAAAGUACGUGAAAAGCGCGAAUACAAAUACAAAUAUUAUUGCAAAAAAUUAAACAAAUAGCGCGGAGGCUUGAGAAAACUAUUUAGUUUUUUCCAAUAUAAUUCCACAAUAUUUAUUCCGAAGAUGAGCAAAUUGCAAUUAGCAUCAAUUUGCGAACUAUCUAAUUGAUAAGCACCAUAUUUGUUUGCUCUGGCCCAGGUGAAAUUCGUAGUCUAAAAUUCAUAAUCCACAUAUCUAUCUAUAAUGCAUAAUUUAUGAUCCGUAAUCCAGACCAGACUUUGCAUAGCCUUCCGCAAGCGAUCAGUCAUCGCGGCAAUUAAUGUGCGACAUUAGAGUGGACCAUUAACAUGGCGCUGCUAAGUGGCCAUCCUCCAUCGUCCGUGCGGUCAAAACCCCUUCAACCCUUGAUUAAUUAUCGCCAAUCAAUGGGAAGUCGCGUCUUGCGAAACCCAUAUUUCGAUUAAAUGUGUUUGUGUUUUAAUCUAGGCAUUGGUAUUGGAAUGGGAAUUUCAAAUUGGAAUUAGAGUUCGUAACGAAAAUUGGGGCCGGGGAGGCCUGUCUUUCAUAUUCGAUCUUCUGGCGGGAGAAUUGAAUCCGGUUUUUAUUUUCGGCUCUUCUGUUGUGGCUUUUAUUUCCAGCAUUAUGACAAAUGACUGGCGAUCCAUCAAAAUGUGCCAAACACUUGGUUAUUUAUGAAUGUGGCGUAGCAAAUGUCCAACGUUCCCCGUAAUUUGGUUCACUUUAUUAUCUGUCCAUAUCCCAUUUCAUGCGACUUUUGGGGCGGAUCGCAGCUAUAUGUGGAAAGUCCAAGUAAUAUCUAAAUUCAGUCGGAAGGGGUGGCCAUUUUAGCACAUUAACUAAAACAGACUACCAUUUAUUGCGCACUAAGUUAGUACAGGAUUGUGUAUGCAUUUUAAGGUGUAAGCCAUCAAUUAUUGAUUGUUUAACAAUGUUUUUAGCUCAGAUUGCUUUUGUCAAUUAUUAUUUGCAGUUAAGUGUAAGCAACCCUAUUCGAUUUGUUUUUUUUUUGUAAUGCAAAAUUAUAAUAUGUAUGUUUCGUACCUUUCAAAACGCUAAUUAAUCUUUUUUUUUUUGCCAGUCCGCAGUUUCAAAAUAUUAAUUAACUUCUUCUUUGUGGAUUCUGUCAAUUUGUUACCACUCCCAUGUGCAAAAUUCUUGUCUAAGAAAAAUAUACAAAAAAAAAAAAAUACAUAUAUAUGAAACCGCAACUGAAUAUUUAUUCUGAGGUUAGCCAAAAAGACCAUAAAAUCCAAUAAGUUAUGGGGACUGUAAAAAGUGUAUAAAAAUGUAAGUUUGACAUCAUUUACAGCAAAAACCAUCUGGGCCUCCAAAUAGUUAUAAUUCCGUUCAUCUACAUAGUAUAUCUUGUUAACAGAUUUUUUGUGUUGUUCGCAUAUUUAUGCUUCGCCGUUUGCAUGUGAAUUAUUAUUUAAUUUUAUCUUCGUACCCAUACAAUUUUUCCUUGAGGUUUUGCAUAAAAGUACAAAAAGCAUUCGUGUUUACAAAUCAAUAAUGCAAAAAUCCGCACAGUGGGCGUAAUCAACAACCGUUGCGACCACGCCCUCUCCUUCCUCAUCAUCAACAUUAUGGUCACUUGCACAGUAAAUAAAAGUUCAAUGUUUGAAUACAUUAAACUCAAAGACCCAGAGCCUGGUAUGUAGACACAUGCUGAUAAUACAAUAUUACUGGAGGUAGGCCAGACUUAUCGACAGCAAAAUGACCAUUUUCAAUAACACUCACGUAGCAUCCGAGUCGAUAAAUUACAAUAAAAGCGGCGAGGGAGCCACAAUUGAAAUUUCGUUGAUGGCAGCACGUCAAAAAACAACAUUCAACUUUCAACAAUCAACAAUCAACAAUCACCAAUCACCAAUCACCAAUCCAGUGGCAGCAACAGAAGCGACAGCAACGGGAGCAGCGAAUUGGAAGGUUACCCCUUUUGGGUGACCCCACGCAUUACAAAUGCACUACAGCAUUCUACGCUGAAUGUUUUAAUGCUCUUAACUAUAAUAUCAUACUAAAAUAUAUUUCAUAUUAACUCGAGAAGGAUAAGUGUAUGGAUGGCAAUCAAUUGAGAAAAUAUAAAUAUUUAUAAUAAUAAGUGAUUUGUAUACGAAACAUAAAAAGAACUAAUAAUCGCUGAUUAGGUGUCAAAUAUUAUGAACUGUUGAAUGGCAAAUUAAAUAAUCGAAUAAGACAGCUUAUAAUAAUAAAAACAAAUGAGCGCAAGCGAAUUUAUUUAAAGAACUCAUUUCACAAUGAAAAUAAAUCAACACUAGCACCGAAAAAGGCACACAAUAGUUCAAUGUGUUUACAUUAUAUUUUCUACACAAUUGGCGAAACUGUUAUUAUUUAAUUUUAAAUUAUCAAUGGAUAUUGUAGGACAAAUUUAUCAAUAAAAUCAAGUGAACACUCUUUUUAUAGGGAAUAAGUGCCAGAAACACAAGGCAGACGAGUUUUUCGGCGGAAGAAAUAAUUAUAUAUGUAUGUGAAGGCCAAGGAGACGACCAGACAUUCCCUGGACACAUGAUCGGGUCAAGGGAUUUCCCACUCCCAUUUUCGGGCAGUUCGAUGAAAACGACG